rnacentral:lncRNA from 1 species
CUGUCUUGCUUGGUUCAGAGUUUUAAGAACACAUGCCAUUACCUUAUGAUAUUGUUUUCUACCUUAUUUUUGUUUUUUAUUUACUUACUAAGGAUGCUAAUUAAGUAUUAGUGCAGUAUUACGUUAUGAAAGAAAAGAGAAGAAAUGAUCUAACAGAAUCAAAGAAACGACAAGGGUGUUCAUGCUAUAUGUCUGAAUUGACAAAUAUUCUAAUUGUCUGAAUGGUUAUAUAUUGCUGAUAUUAUGUCUGAAUGGUUGUAUACUGCGGACAUAAUGAUUUCUUAGGUAUGUUAUUGCUCUUUUAGUGACAACUUAUUAUCUUUGCCAUGUUCAUUGUGACGAUGCAUGCCACUUGAGAUACAACAAAUACAAAAGCAAUGUCAUGUACUACACUUUGGGCUUGAAUUGAUCUGACUAGAACAUUUAUGAGUGAGCUAAUGUAUUGAGGGAGGGUAUCAUAAUUGCAGAUCACAAAUGCGCAUAUUCUUCUUUCAUUUCAGUAUUGAAAUGUACGCAUGAAAGCAUUCAUCACAUGGUUGUUGCAUCAUAUUGUAUAAAAUGGUAAGGAAAUGUAUGUGAUAGCGUUCCUAUUUAAGUAUGAUAGGAGACAUAGAAAUAACCCUCUACAAGGCCAUCCUGCAUACCUGAGACCAAGAAAGGAGUAAAUCUUAGUCGUUGUUAGGUUCAUACUAGCAUAUACACAUAUGCAGUGCACUCAAUUUUCAUACUUAGUUAGAACGGUCUUUGAUAUGCUAGGUUUAUACCAACAUACAUCACAUGUGUAUGCAAUGAACACAUGUAUUGCACUUAGUUGGAAAUUGCUUUUGCAAUGAAGCCGAAAGCCAAAGUCAUCUUGGGACUUGGAAACAUCAGGAUAUUCGAGAGCCCUCCCUGGACAUUUGCAGGAAGGCACAAUUGGCAUGUUCGUUAGCUUGAGUAGGACUCUUCAUCAGACUACUGCUCUUGACCGAGGAACAUCGAUUAUGCUAGUACAGAACAUCACCAUAUGUGUUCUGCCAAUGUCCUCGGUGGUCCAUGUUGGUAGGGCCGCUGUAUUUCACUUGGAUGAAAGUGAGCUAAUCAAAAGAUACUGGCUUAACAUAUGAGUGUUUAUCGACUGAAACGAACUCAAGUGUGAUUUCAAAGCACCCGAGAAACAUUUACUCAAUAAAAAUGACAUUUUUGAUAGCACACAAAUCUAGGAAAAAGGGUAUAUUUCUUGAAGUUGGAGGCUACAACAGUUACUUAAAGUGAGGUUUAUCCAAAAUUGUUUGAGAGAUCUUAGUAAAGAAACAAUUGAUUAGAUACUUUGUCCUCUAACCCUGGCACAAUUUCCAGGUGCCAAAGAGACAAUUUAUUUUUUCAUGUAGAGACCGAAGCACAAUUAGCAGUUGACACGAUAAUAGUCUAAGUUUUAUAAAACCAUCAUAGCUUUAUUCAUCACCAGGUCGUUGUUGUAUAGUAAAUAUUGCUAUCUAUCGUAUGGGUGAGUUGGGUUUGAUCACCCGGGACCGCUAUUUUUUUAGCAUACAUGACAUGUAUUUAUUUUCGCA